rnacentral:rRNA from 1 species
UUGAACGCUGGCGGCAGGCCUAACACAUGCAAGUCGAACGGUAACAGGAAGCAGCUUGCUGCUUUGCUGACGAGUGGCGGACGGGUGAGUAAUGUCUGGGAAACUGCCCGAUGGAGGGGGAUAACUACUGGAAACGGUAGCUAAUACCGCAUAACGUCGCAAGACCAAAGAGGGGGACCUUAGGGCCUCUUGCCAUCGGAUGUGCCCAGAUGGGAUUAGCUAGUAGGUGGGGUAACGGCUCACCUAGGCGACGAUCCCUAGCUGGUCUGAGAGGAUGACCAGCCACACUGGAACUGAGACACGGUCCAGACUCCUACGGGAGGCAGCAGUGGGGAAUAUUGCACAAAGGGCGCAAGCCUGAUGCAGCCAUGCCGCGUGUAUGAAGAAGGCCUUCGGGUUGUAAAGUACUUUCAGCGGGGAGGAAGGGAGUAAAGUUAAUACCUUUGCUCAUUGACGUUACCCGCAGAAGAAGCACCGGCUAACUCCGUG